CAAGGUUUGUCAUUUCGUGAAGCUUGUAAUGCAAUGACUAUUUCAACUAGCAUUGGCAACAUGAUUCGAGUUUAUAAAGGAUUUAGAUCUAAUCUAGCAUGAACGAGCAUACAGACGAAUAGCAGCAAGAGAUAACCAAUCUAGAGGCAUCUAGACUAUGCAUAUGUUGUAAUUUUGAGCAAGAUAGCAAAGCAAGAGAUAUAUGAUUCUCAUUCAAAGCCUCUUUAAAUCUACACCUCUAGUCAGAUUUCAAAACCCCCACCUUAAACAGAAGCAUACCCUAUCACGAUCCCCC
rnacentral:lncRNA from 1 species